CAUAUAAAACAAAACAAAGAAAGAGAAUAUAUAGUGCAGAUGGUUUGACAAAUGAAAGCAAUUGAUGGUAACAAGAUGUGAGUGGUUUAAAGCAUCUUGUUACCAUCAAUUGCUUUCAUUUGUCAAACCAUCUGCACUAUAUAUUCUCUUUCUUUGUUUUGUUUUAUAUGU